UUACAGCCAUAUCAUAUUGAAACACCAGGUUCUUGUAUGAUCACCAAAGUUAAGCAACAUUGGUACUGGUCAGUACCUAGAUGGGUGACUGCAUGAGAAUACCAGGUGCUGUAAG